ACCUUUGUCUGCAUAUCCGGUUCACGCACUGCGUGAUUAAAAGGGAAGUCCGGUGCAAUUCCGGCGCUAUCCCCGUAGCUGUAAGCAUUAUCCGGCCGUUCAUGGCCGGAACCGCACCUACUCCAUGCCACUGUUCAUCACGGGAAGGCCAGGUGCGCGAUGUAAGCCAGAAGACCUGCCUGGUAUAUUAUCAUUCA
rnacentral:ncRNA from 2 species